UACGUAGGGUCCAAGCGUUAUCCGGAAUCACUGGGCGUAAAGCGUCCGCAGCCGGCGCGUUAAGUGUGAUGUUAAAUCGUGGGGCUCAACCCCGUCGGUGCAUCACAUACUGGCGUGCUAGAGGAAAUCAGAGGCAAGUGGAAUUGGUAGUGUAGCAGUGAAAUGCGUAGAUAUUACCAGGAACACCAAUGGCGAAGGCAGCUUGCUGGGAUUUUUCUGACGGUCAGGGACGAAAGCGUGGGGAGCGAACAGG
rnacentral:rRNA from 1 species